GGAGUGGCCGUAAGGCGGGGUUCCAUUGUACUUUGUGAAGACAACAAGGCCGUGAUUUCGUUCAAAGUGAUAGUAACAUUUAGCUCAACUAAGCAGUGGGAAAUUUUGUUGGUAAACACGGUGUCGCUAUCACUGCUUGUCUUUAGUUCUGCUGAAGUACAGUGGAGAGGGCGAUAAGCCCACGCGUGUUUUCAGUGCCAACUGGACCAAAGAUGAAGACAUCAGUCGCUGCCUGAGGUCUCUACCCAACUGGCCUGGCAUUCAGCACCACCAUUCACAUCGACAUAGAAAGGAAGACGAAGAGCAAGAUGUAGAGGCGGUGAGAAAACGAAAUCAGAAGGUAAUCUCAACUCUUGCUGUUUAUUUCUCAAGUAUUCUUCUCUUGGUAGUAUGAAUGGUCCUAGGUCACACUUUUUCAGGCGAUUCUAG